AAAAUUGAGAGCAACAAUUCAAGUGAAGAAUUGUUGAGAGAGUGGCAAUUGGGGAGUGUGUGUAUUUGAGAGGUUUUUUCUUUCAAGUGUGUGAGAGUACUUGGUGUAUUUGGGUUUUGGGAAGUGAGGUUUCUUUACUCAAAUAUUUUACUCUAAUAAUUAUUAGUAAUACAAUUAUUUUCUCUUGCUCCCGUGGACAUAAGCAUAAUUGCCGAACCACGUAAAAUUGUGUCUUUUAUUUUUCUUGUGAUUAUUUUUCUUCUUUUUUCAACCAAAAUCAACAUUAGACACAUGCAUGUGGCAUCCAAAAUUCAAAAACAUGCAAUUUUUCAAAAGGCCACCAAACAAAUGAAAAAAAAAAAUGGAAAAGUUGGCAAAUUUGUCAAAAUAAGAUAAAUGAGCAUCAUUGACAAAUUGUUUGGGUUAGGUGGAAUAAUGCUUGGGUUAGGUGGAAUAGUGCAAGCUUCAAGCCUAUAAAUUAAAGUCAUUUCUUCAUUUCAUAGCAUCCCAAAAUUGAGAGCAACAAUUCAAGUGAAGCAUUAUUAAGAGUGUGAGCAAUUGGGGAGUGUGUGUAUUUGAGAGGUUUUUUCUUUUAAGUGUGUGUGAGAGUACUUGGUGUAUUUGGGUUUUGGGAAGUGAGGUUUCUUUACUCAAAUAUUGUACUCUAAUAAUUAUUAGUAAUACAAUUAUUUUCUCUUACUCCCGUGGACGUAGGUAUAAUUACCGAACCACAUAAAAUUUUGUGUCUUUUAUUUUCUUUUGAUUAUUUUUCUUCUUUUUUCAACCAAAAUCAACAUUAGACACAUGCAUGUGGCAUCCAAAAUUCAAAAAACAUGCAAUUUUUCAAAAGGCCACCAAACAAAUGAAGAAAAAUGGAAAAGUUGGCAAAUUUGUCAAAUUAAGAUAAAUGGUCACCAUUGACAAAUUGCUUAGGUUAGGUGGAAUAGUGCCUGGGUUAGGUGGAAUAGUGCAAGCUUCAAGCCUAUAAAUUGAAGCCAUUUCUUCAUUUCAUAGCAUCCCAAAAUUGAGAGCAACAAUUCAAGUGAAGAAUUGUUGAGAGAGUGAGCAAUUGGGGAGUGUGUGUAUUUGAGAGGUUUUUUCUUUCAAGAGUGUGUGAGAGUACUUGGUGUAUUUAGGUUUUGGGAAGUGAGGUUGCUUUGCUCAAAUAUUUUACUCUAAUAAUUAUUAGUAAUAUAAUUAUUUUCUCUUGCUCCCGUGGACGUAGUCAUAAUUGCCAAACCACGUAAAAUUCUGUAUCUUUUAUUUUUCUUAUGAUUAUUUUUCUUCUUUUUUCAACCAAAACCAACAUUAGACACAUGCAUGUGGCAUCCAAAAUUCAAAAACAUACAAUUUUUCAAAAGGCCACUAAACAAAUGAAAAAAAAAGUGGAAAAGUUGGCAAAUUUGUCAAAUUAAGAUAAAUGGGCACCAUUGAAAAAUUGUUUGGGUUAAGUGGAAUAGUGCAAGUUUCAAGCCUAUAAAUUAAAGCCAUUUCUUCAUUCCAUAACAUCCUAAAAAAAUUGACAGAGAAACAAUUCAAUUGUAGUAUUGUUACGAGAGUGAGCAAUUGGAAAGUUUGUAAUUAAAAUGUUUUUCCUUUCAAGUGUGUGUGAGAGUACUUGAUGUAUUUGGGUUUUGAUAAGUGAGGUUUCUUUACUCAAAUAUUGUACUCUAAUAAUUGUUAGUAAUAUAAUUAUUUUCUCUUACUCCUAUGGAUGUAGGCAUAUUGUCGAACCACGUUAUAUUUUGUGUCCUUUAUUUUCU
rnacentral:lncRNA from 1 species